rnacentral:lncRNA from 1 species
UUUAUAUUUUUGUUACAAUAUUCUCCGAUUUAAAAUCGUAUAUUUUUAAUUAUGAAUACAAAUAAUUUGUAUGUUUACGUAAAUUAUAAUUGAUUUCUAAAAGAUAGUGAGAGAAAAAUUAAAUGGUUUUCUCUGUUAGGAUUUAUUCAUAGCAUAAUAUUAAAAAGUCGAGCAAAAGAGAACUCAAGAACAGCUGAUUUUUUUUAUAAGGAAUUGAAGAAAAUAUUUAAAAUCUGAUAAUUUUCACAGCCAUUUAUGUCGCGAUUUGUGGUUUUUCAGAUGUUUCAACAUCACCUAGGAAAUUAACAUUAAGAUAUCAGGAUCCUGCAUAUAACGAGAUAAGAACUAUGAUCUUGUUAGGAUACCUAUUCCGUCACAAUAUGAAGUGAAGAUAUUCAUGGUGUGGAAGUCGUUACUUUAAUUACAUAGUGCAUAUGAAAUUGGUCCUUUACAUCAUGUUUAAAAUUGACGUAAUGCUACUAUGCAAAAUAGUGAGAGAUGUGAACCCUAGGCAGAGCUACAGAAUUACUUUUGUUGAGAGACAAAUUAUGAUAGUGAUUAGAAUCGCAUAUUCUAGACUUUUACUUAAAAAAUGAUUUGUUCGGAAUGAACUUUUAUAGUGUGGAGGAAUACCUGCAAAUUAUAAUAUGAGGCCUACGUAUAUGAUAAUUUUAUUAUGAUCUGUUGUGUUUGUUUUUUUAUAUUUUGUAUUAUAUAUUUGUGUUAGCUUUAAGAAUUUAUUGACUAUUCCUAUACAAUUGUACAUUGUUUUAUGGAAAUAAAUAAAUGAUUGAUUGAUUGAAUAAGUUAGGAAACCAUACGAUCGAGAAAAAAACGGCUUCAAAGGCGACUGGGGAAUGAAAAUAUGAUAAUUUCAGUGAGGUCAAGCCCUAGAAGUCAUUUUCUUGGCUCGUACUAUUUUUUAAAGGCGCUCUAAGGUUGUAAUUUAUUUUUACAUUAAGUAAAUAUGAUUUUUAAAUGGUGUAGUUUAAGAUUGACCUCGCUAAAUUAUCAAUCGUCAUUCCUCAGCCGCCUUUGACGCCGUUUUUUUUAGACUAUUUGCUAUAACUAUGUUAUCUGUUAUGCAAAUACAUAUGUCAACAAGUAAAAAGCCAAUGAGAAAUUAGUUUCUGCUUGGAUCCUUACAGUGGCAUUUAACAAAAUAUAUAUUUUUUCAGGUUACAAUAUUUUAUUUAAUAUGAACCUGUAAAUGUAAGAAUAUUAUACAUAUAUUAUAUUUUUUACUCAGUCCCUAAAUAUAUUAUUAAAAUACAACACUUGUGUUUUUUAUUAAUAUCGUGUUAUGAUUAAUACCUAAUUAAUGUAAAAUUAUAUGGUAUGUAAAUAUCCUUACACUGAGAAUUCGUUUGGUCAAAAUAUUACUCUCUUACUAAUAUGAAUUUGAAAACUACAGAACAUUGUUUUUUUUUAGUUUUUGUGCUAAUAUUUCCACUUAAAAUUACCGAAUAUAUUUAUGGUAUAGGUAGGAAAAGAUGAAUUUUGUGCUUUUUAAUUAUACAUUAUAUUAAUUAUAUUAUUAUUGUAAAUAAUAUCUACUGAUAUUUAAUAUAAAAAAUAGUUAUUCACAUGCAUCUAUUUUUCUUUUGUAAUUAAUACUAUCUAAAUAACAAGACAUCUUAUAUAAUAGAUCCAUUAACAUUUUAGUUUAUCAAUUAUCAAUCACUAUACGAUAUACAAUACGUAUAAUAUCUUUUAAUUAUAUCUAACUUUUAAUUAUUGAAUAUUUAAUAAACAAAUUUUUUAUAGUGUUUGUUAAAUAUUUUAUAGCAUAUACUAUUA